AAUUUAUUGAACAUUAAAUGAAUCAGCUGUCAAUGAUUAGACCAGAUAUUGAAUAAUUCUUGAUCUAAGCUUCAUUACCGAGUCAUUAAAGACAUCCUGAAGAUAAUGAUGGUAUUCAAAAGAACCAUGAAUCAGAGAGGCAAUUCCUCCUGAGACUGCAUGAAGAUCGGGAUUUUAAUGAAAAUGAUAUUAAGGCAAAAAGAAUAAACAGAUAAAUAACAGCAACCACUAUCCACUAACCACCACUACUUGGGAUCCCAA
rnacentral:misc_RNA from 1 species